rnacentral:rRNA from 1 species
UGGGGAAUAUUGGACAAUGGGGGCAACCCUGAUCCAGCCAUGCCGCGUGUGUGAAGAAGGCCUUCGGGUUGUAAAGCUCUUUUAGUCGGAAAGAAAGAGUUGCAAUGAAUAAUUGUGAUUUAUGACGGUACCGACAGAAAAAGCACCGGCUAACUACGUGCCAGCAGCCGCGGUAAUACGUAGGGUGCGAGCGUUAAUCGGAAUUACUGGGCGUAAAGGGUGCGCAGGCGGUCUUGCAAGUCAGAUGUGAAAGCCCCGGGCUUAACCUGGGAAUUGCGUUUGAAACUACAAGGCUAGAGUCCAGCAGAGGGGAGUGGAAUUCCAUGUGUAGCAGUGAAAUGCGUAGAGAUGUGGAAGAACACCGAUGGCGAAGGCAGCUCCCUGGGUUGACACUGACGCUCAUGCACGAAAGCGUGGGGAGCAAACA